AUGGCUCACACUGCCAGGCUCUGGAAUUCCAGUUCCCAGCCAGGAAAAGUUGUUCCUUCUCAUCCUAGUUUUGUUUCUCCAGCCAAGGCACCCAUUUAUGCCACAGCUUUAGCAUCCCGAUCCUGGUUCCCAUUCCUGUUCCCAAUCGCUAUCUCAUUUCCGUUCCCAUUCUCAAACUUUUUCCUGUUCCCCUUCCCGAUCCCAUUCCCAUUCCCAAUCCUGUGCCUAAUCCCAAUCCCAUUCCUGUUCCAAAUCCCUACCUCAUUCCCAAUCCCUGUCUCCUUCCCAUUCCCAAUGCUUUUUCUGUUCCCAUUCCCAAUCUUGUUCGCAUUUCUGAUCCCAAUUUCAUUCCCAAUCUCGAUCCCUUUCCCAAUUCCAAUCCCUUUCACAUUCCCAAUCCCUAUUUCAUUCCCAUUCCCGAUCCUGCUCCUAUUCCCAAUCCCAAUCCUUAUCCUGCUCCCAUUCCCAAUCCGGUUCCCAUUUCCUUUCCGAAUUCCAAUCCCGUUCCUGUUCCCAUUCCUAAUCCUGUUCCCAAUUCCCAAUCCCAAUCCUUAUCCUGCUCCCAUUCCCAAUCCCGUUCCCAUUUCCUUUCCGAAUUCCAAUCCCGUUCCUGUUCCCAUUCCUAAUCCUGUUCCCA
rnacentral:lncRNA from 1 species